rnacentral:rRNA from 1 species
UGGUGCGAUGGUUGUCGUCAGCUCGUGUCGUGAGAUGUGGGUUAAGUCCCGCAACGAGCGCAACCCUCGACCUUAGUUGCCAGCAUUCAGUUGGGCACUCUAAGGUGACUGCCGGCUAAAAGUCGGAGGAAGGUGGGGAUGACGUCAAAUCAUCAUGCCCCUUAUGACCUGGGCUACACACGUGCUACAAUGGGCGGUACAAAGGGUCGCGAACCCGCGAGGGGGAGCCAAUCCCAAAAAGCCGCUCUCAGUUCGGAUUGCAGGCUGCAACUCGCCUGCAUGAAGCCGGAAUCGCUAGUAAUCGCGGAUCAGCAUGCCGCGGUGAAUACGUUCCCGGGCCUU